GAUGAACGCUGGCGGCGUGCCUAAUACAUGCAAGUCGAGCGAACGGACGAGAAGCUUGCUUCUCUGAUGUUAGCGGCGGACGGGUGAGUAACACGUGGAUAACCUACCUAUAAGACUGGGAUAACUUCGGGAAACCGGAGCUAAUACCGGAUAAUAUUUUGAACCGCAUGGUUCAAAAGUGAAAGACGGUCUUGCUGUCACUUAUAGAUGGAUCCGCGCUGCAUUAGCUAGUUGGUAAGGUAACGGCUUACCAAGGCAACGAUGCAUAGCCGACCUGAGAGGGUGAUCGGCCACACUGGAACUGAGACACGGUCCAGACUCCUACGGGAGGCAGCAGUAGGGAAUCUUCCGCAAUGGGCGAAAGCCUGACGGACCAACGCCGCGUGAGUGAUGAAGGUCUUCGGAUCGUAAAACUCUGUUAUUAGGGAAGAACAUAUGUGUAAGUAACUGUGCACAUCUUGACGGUACCUAAUCAGAAAGCCACGGCUAACUACGUGCCAGCAACCGCGGUAAUACGUAGGUGGCAAGCGUUUUCCCGAAUUUUUGGGCGUAAAGCGCGCGUAGCGGUUUUUUAAGUCUGAUGUGAAAGCCCACGGCUCAACCGUGGAGGGUCAUUGGAAACUGGAAAACUUGAGUGCAGAAGAGGAAAGUGGAAUUCCAUGUGUAGCGGUGAAAUGCGCAGAGAUAUGGAGGAACACCAGUGGCGAAGGCGACUUUCUGGUCUGUAACUGACGCUGAUGUGCGAAAGCGUGGGGAUCAAACAGGAUUAGAUACCCUGGUAGUCCACGCCGUAAACGAUGAGUGCUAAGUGUUAGGGGGUUUCCGCCCCUUAGUGCUGCAGCUAACGCAUUAAGCACUCCGCCUGGGGAGUACGACCGCAAGGUUGAAACUCAAAGGAAUUGACGGGGACCCGCACAAGCGGUGGAGCAUGUGGUUUAAUUCGAAGCAACGCGAAGAACCUUACCAAAUCUUGACAUCCUUUGACAACUCUAGAGAUAGAGCUUUCCCCUUCGGGGGACAAAGUGACAGGUGGUGCAUGGUUGUCGUCAGCUCGUGUCGUGAGAUGUUGGGUUAAGUCCCGCAACGAGCGCAACCCUUAAGCUUAGUUGCCAUCAUUAAGUUGGGCACUCUAAGUUGACUGCCGGUGACAAACCGGAGGAAGGUGGGGAUGACGUCAAAUCAUCAUGCCCCUUAUGAUUUGGGCUACACACGUGCUACAAUGGACAAUACAAAGGGCAGCGAAGCCGCGAGGUCAAGCAAAUCCCAUAAAGUUGUUCUCAGUUCGGAUUGUAGUCUGCAACUCGACUACAUGAAGCUGGAAUCGCUAGUAAUCGUAGAUCAGCAUGCUACGGUGAAUACGUUCCCGGGUCU
rnacentral:rRNA from 1 species